rnacentral:misc_RNA from 1 species
AAGUCGUAACAAGGUUUCCGUAGGUGAACCUGCGGAAGGAUCAUUAACACGUAUCCAACGUUAAACCCCCGAACGUACAUUCCUUCUCCGCUUACAGAAAAUUGGUUGCAAUCCCUGGUAAAUCAUCGCCAAACAGUUUUGAUUCAGGAAGUGUUUAACCCAGAAACGAGUACACGUCCCUCUUGACCCCUUGAAACGACAGGGUGUCGCGAAAAUUUACUUGUUCCGAAGGUCAAGUACUAACUGAACAACUGUUAACAAUGGAUAUCUUGGGUCUC